AUACGGAGGGUGCGAGCGUUAAUCGGAAUUACUGGGCGUAAAGGGCACGUAGGCGGCUUAAUAAGUCAGAUGUGAAAGCCCUGGGCUUAACCUGGGAACUGCAUUUGAAACGGUUAGGCUAGAGUUUGAUAGAGGGGAGUGGAAUUUCCGGUGUAGCGGUGAAAUGCGUAGAGAUCGGAAGGAACACCAGUGGCGAAGGCGACUCCCUGGAUUAAAACUGACGCUGAGGUGCGAAAGCGUGGGUAGCAAACAGGAUUAGAUACCCCAGUAGUCC
rnacentral:rRNA from 1 species